rnacentral:rRNA from 1 species
AGAGUUUGAUCCUGGCUCAGGAUGAACGCUAGCGAUAGGCUUAACACAUGCAAGUCGAGGGGCAGCAUGGUCUUAGCUUGCUAAGACUGAUGGCGACCGGCGCACGGGUGCGUAACGCGUAUGCAACUUGCCUCACAGAGGGGGAUAACCCGUCGAAAGACGGACUAAUACCGCGUACACUCUAUGUUGGGCAUCCAAUGUAGAGGAAAUGAAAUUCGCUGUGAGAUAGGCAUGCGUCCCAUUAGCUAGUUGGUGAGGUAACGGCUCACCAAGGCGACGAUGGGUAGGGGAACUGAGAGGUUGAACCCCCACACUGGUACUGAGACACGGACCAGACUCCUACGGGAGGCAGCAGUGAGGAAUAUUGGUCAAUGGGCGAGAGCCUGAACCAGCCAAGUCGCGUGAAGGAUGACUGUCUUAUGGAUUGUAAACUUCUUUUAUACGGGAAUAACAAGAGUCACGUGUGGCUCCCUGCAUGUACCGUAUGAAUAAGCAUCGGCUAACUCCGUGCCAGCAGCCGCGGUAAUACGGAGGAUGCGAGCGUUAUCCGGAUUUAUUGGGUUUAAAGGGUGCGUAGGCGGCCUGUUAAGUCAGCGGUGAAAUCUAGGAGCUUAACUCCUAAAUUGCCAUUGAUACUGGCGGGCUUGAGUGUAGAUGAGGUAGGCGGAAUGCGUGGUGUAGCGGUGGAAUGCAUAGAUAUCACGCAGAACUCCGAUUGCGAAGGCAGCUUACUAAGGUACAACUGACGCUGAAGCACGAAAGUGUGGGUAUCAAACAGGAUUAGAUACCCUGGUAGUCCACGCAGUAAACGAUGUAUACUCGCGGUUUGCGAUAGACAGUAAGCCGCCAAGCGAAAGCAUUAAGUAUACCACCUGGGGAGUACGCCGGCAACGGUGAAACUCAAAGGAAUUGACGGGGGCCCG